UACGUAGGUGGCAAGCGUUGUCCGGAAUUAUUGGGCGUAAAGGGCUCGCAGGCGGUUUCUUAAGUCUGAUGUGAAAGCCCCCGGCUCAACCGGGGAGGGUCAUUGGAAACUGGGAAACUUGAGUGCAGAAGAGGAGAGUGGAAUUCCACGUGUAGCGGUGAAAUGCGUAGAGAUGUGGAGGAACACCAGUGGCGAAGGCGACUCUCUGGUCUGUAACUGACGCUGAGGCUCGAAAGCGUGGGGAGCAAACAGG
rnacentral:rRNA from 1 species